GUGCUCGCUUCGGCAGCACAUACACUAAAAUUGGAACGAUACAGAGAAGAUGAGCAUUUGCCCCUGCGUGAGGAUGACACGCGUAUUUGCGAGGCAUUCCAUAGUUUU